rnacentral:lncRNA from 1 species
UUCCUUUCUUCCUUCCUUCUUUUCCGUGCUUUCUCUCUUGCCUUCUUUAUUUCCUUCUUUCCUUCUCUCUCUCUCUCUCUCUCUCUCUCUCUCUCUCUCUUUCUUUCUUUCUUUCUUUCCCUCUUUCCCUCUUUCUUUCUUUCUUUCUUUUAAUUUAAAUUGAAUGAACAAUUUGUUUCCCUUAGAAAAGAAAAAGAAAAUAUUCUUUAAAGUUUGUCUUUGAAAAUGUACAAUUAUUGUAAUAGCUUCUGACACCUACACUAUACCUUCAGUAAUCAAUUGACUAACCUUUCUAAUUAUGCUUUGAAAGCAAGCCAAUUAAGUGCAUUCAGAAAUACAUAUCAUUCCUCCUUCCAAAAUGAACCUACCUGAAUUCAGACUGUUUAACUGUGAGUUAACUGUGACAUUGUACCAAAGGGUCGCAAUUCCCAAGCACUACUUUAAAUCUCAAACUUACCCUGCUCUUUCAAGUGCAUAAGAUCAACACAGCAAACAUUUAGCAUGGUUUAGGAAUGACUAGGUUCCUCAUGCUAAUAUAAAGACAUAAUUAUGAUGUGCUAGGCUUUCAAUAGUGUCCUCUGCAUGAGGUAGUUUUUACUUAAGUAGAUAACUGAGUUAUUUUAACAGUUUGUUCUAUUUCUUGCAAUCUGAUGAGUCUACAUUUUCGCUUGACUUGUUGUGAAUAAUAUUAUAUAUAUGCUAUUUUACUAACAGAUUAUACUUUGUGAUCCUUUCUUUUAAAAAUAAAUGUAGUUAUCCCAAACAUAGACUAUAAUAUCAUCAAAUAAUACCAAGUAAAUAUAUUUAAGGCAUGGUUAAUAACAUAUAUUUUGAAAGGCCAAGCUAUUUUUUUCAUAUUUUUAUUUUUAAUUAAUGCAUCUGUUAAUCCUGUGCCAUUUUUCAAAAGUUUCAUUUUGUGGUUCAAAUUAUUUCUAAAAAUAUUUUCUUUUACCUAGUAGUACAGGUUUUGAGAAAAAUAUGAUUAAAAUGAUCAAAUAUGCCUCAUUUCACUAGAAUUUUAAGAAUAAUACCUGUAAAUGGGUGGAAAUAUUUUUAAAAAUAAAACACCAUAUUUCUUUGUUUUUUAUGUAGCAUGACUUUUUACCUAUUUGCUUAUUUUACUUGUAAUUAUCCUAAGUUAUGCACAAUGUAUAUAUUCUCUUUCAUGAAGCAGUAGUCAUUGUUACGUGCAGACCACAGAAUGAGGUGAGUUUGUACAUGGAAAAAUGAUUUAUGGGCACCUGGGAUUCUUCUAAAACAAAGUGGAAAUAAAAGUUGCCUGUUAUAUUUACAUGACUCAUUACAGAGCUGCAUAAAUCAUGUAUUAUUUACCUUAAAAUUUCAAAAUGUUACAUAUUAAGUAUUUAAAUCAAUAAAUUAUACGAAC